GCGGAGGGAUCAUUGCUGGAACGCGCUUCGGCGCACCCAGAAACCCUUUGUGAACUUAUACCUAUUGUUGCCUCGGCGUCAGGCCGGCCUCUUCACUGAGGCCCCCUGGAGACAGGGAGCAGCCCGCCGGCGGCCAACUAAACUCUUGUUUCUAUAGUGAAUCUCUGAGUAAAAAACAUAAAUGAAUCAAAACUUUCAACAACGGAUCUCUUGGUUCUGGCAUCGAUGAAGAACGCAGCGAAAUGCGAUAAGUAAUGUGAAUUGCAGAAUUCAGUGAAUCAUCGAAUCUUUGAACGCACAUUGCGCCCCCUGGUAUUCCGGGGGGCAUGCCUGUUCGAGCGUCAUUUCAACCCUCAAGCCUGGCUUGGUGAUGGGGCACUACUUCCUCACGGGAGUAGGCCCUGAAAUUCAGUGGCGAGCUCGCCAGGACCCCGAGCGUAGUAGUUAUAUCUCGCUUUGGAAGGCCCUGGCGGUGCCCUGCCGUUAAACCCCCAACUUCUGAAAAUUUGACCUCGGAUCAGGUAGGAAUACCCGCUGAACUUAAGCA
rnacentral:rRNA from 1 species